rnacentral:rRNA from 1 species
ACUACGGGUGGCAGCAGUGAGGAAUAUUGGUCAAUGGGCGGAAGCCUGAACCAGCCAAGUAGCGUGCAGGAUGACGGCCCUACGGGUUGUAAACUGCUUUUAUACGGGAAUAACGCGCCUUACGUGUAGGGCUUUGCAUGUACCGUAUGAAUAAGGACCGGCUAAUUCCGUGCCAGCAGCCGCGGUAAUACGGAAGGUCCGGGCGGUAGCCGGAUUUAUUGGGUUUAAGGGGAGCUUAGGCAGCAGGUCAAGCGGCCUGUGCAAUGUCCGGGCUCAACCCGGGCCUUGAAGCGCGAACUGGCGUGCGUGAGUCCGCGGAAAGCAGGCGGAAUUCGUCGUGUAGCGGUGAAAUGCUGAGAUAUGACGAAGAACCCCGAUUGCGAAGGCAGCUUGCUGCAGCGGAACUGACGCUGAUGCUCGAAAGCGCGGGUAUCGAACAGGAUUAGAUACCCGGGUAGUC